rnacentral:rRNA from 1 species
GACGAACGCUGGCGGCGUGCCUAAUACAUGCAAGUCGAACGCAGUGGCGACGGGUGAGUUACACGUGGGUAACCUCCCAUCAGAGGGGAUAACACUUGGAAACAGGUGCUAAACCGAUACUGAUGGAUGAACCCGCGGUGCAUUAGCUAGUUGGUGAGGUAACGGCUCACCAAGGCCACGAUGCAUAGCCGACCUGAGAGGGUGAUCGGCCACACUGGGACUGAGACACGGCCCAGACUCCUACGGGAGGCAGCAGUAGGUAAUCUUCGGCAAUGGACGAAAGUCUGACCGAGCUACGCCGCGUGAGUGAGGAUGGUGUGCGGAUCGUAAACCGCUGGUGUUAUAGUAGCGGUAUCUAGCCAGAAAUCCACGUCUAACGACGCGCCAGCAGCCGCGGUAAUUC